GAUGAACGCUAGCUACAGGCUUAACACAUGCAAGUCGAGGGGAAACGACAUCGAAAGCUUGCUUUUGAUGGGCGUCGACCGGCGCACGGGUGAGUAACGCGUAUCCAACCUGCCCAUCACUUGGGAAUAACCUUGCGAAAGUAAGACUAAUACCCAAUGAUAUCCCACGAAGGCAUCGGAAUGGGAUUAAAGAUUUAUCGGUGAUGGAUGGGGAUGCGUCUGAUUAGCUUGUUGGCGGGGUAACGGCCCACCAAGGCAACGAUCAGUAGGGGUUCUGAGAGGAAGGUCCCCCACAUUGGAACUGAGACACGGUCCAAACUCCUACGGGAGGCAGCAGUGAGGAAUAUUGGUCAAUGGGCGAGAGCCUGAACCAGCCAAGUAGCGUGCGGGAAGACGGCCCUAUGGGUUGUAAACUGCUUUUAUAAGGGAAUAAAGUGGGUCACGUGUGACUUUUUGCAUGUACCUUAUGAAUAAGGACCGGCUAAUUCCGUG
rnacentral:rRNA from 1 species